rnacentral:rRNA from 1 species
GACGAACGCUGGCGGCGUGCUUAACACAUGCAAGUCGAACGGAAAGGCCCUGCUUUUGUGGGGUGCUCGAGUGGCGAACGGGUGAGUAACACGUGAGUAACCUGCCCUUGACUUUGGGAUAACUUCAGGAGACUGGGGCUAAUACCGGAUAGGAGCUCCUGCUGCAUGGUGGGGGUUGGAAAGUUUCGGCGGUUGGGGAUGGACUCGCGGCUUAUCAGCUUGUUGGUGGGGUAGUGGCUUACCAAGGGUUUGACGGGUAGCCGGCCUGAGAGGGUGACCGGCCACAUUGGGACUGAGAUACGGCCCAGACUCCUACGGGAGGCAGCAGUGGGGAAUAUUGCACAAUGGGCGGAAGCCUGAUGCAGCAACGCCGCGUGCGGGAUGACGGCCUUCGGGUUGUAAACCGCUUUCGCCUGUGACGAAGCGUGAGUGACGGUAAUGGGUAAAGAAGCACCGGCUAACUACGUG